UGUCCUACGGGGCGCAGCAGUGGGGGAUAUUGCACAAUGGGGGAAACCCUGAUGCAGCGACGCCGCGUGGGUGAAGAAGCGCCUCGGCGCGUAAAGCCCUGUCAGCAGGGAAGAAAAUGACGGUACCUGAAGAAGAAGCCCCGGCUAACUACGUGCCAGCAGCCGCGGUAAUACGUAGGGGGCAAGCGUUAUCCGGAUUUACUGGGUGUAAAGGGAGCGUAGGUGGCAUGGUAAGCCAGAAGUGAAAACCCAGGGCUCAACUCUGCGGAUUGCUUUUGGAAUUAUCAAGCUAGAGUGCUGGUGGG
rnacentral:rRNA from 1 species